UACAGAGGUCUCAAGCGUCGUUCGGAAUUACUGGGCGUAAAGGGUGCGCAGGCCGCGCGGGCAGUCAAAUGUGUAAUCCAGGGGCUCAACCCCUGAACUGCGCUUGAUACUUCCGCGCUCGAGCUUUGGAGAGGAGUCUGGAAUUCUCGGUGUAGCAGUGAAAUGCGUGGAUAUCGAGAAGAACACUUAGGGCGUAGGCAAGACUCUGGACAAAUGCUGACGCUCAUGCACGAAGGCUAGGGUAGCGAACGGG
rnacentral:rRNA from 1 species